rnacentral:rRNA from 1 species
UAGGGAAUCUUCCGCAAUGGGCGAAAGCUUGACGGAGCAACGCCGCGUGAGUGAUGAAGGUCUUCGGAUCGUAAAACUCUGUUAUUAGGGAAGAACAAAUGUGUAAGUAACUAUGCACGUCUUGACGGUACCUAAUCAGAAAGCCACGGCUAACUACGUGCCAGCAGCCGCGGUAAUACGUAGGUGGCAAGCGUUAUCCGGUAUUAUUGGGCGUAAAGCGCGCGUAGGCGGUUUUUUAAGUCUGAUGUGAAAGCCCACGGCUCAACCGUGGAGGGUCAUUGGAAACUGGAAAACUUGAGUGCAGAAGAGGAAAGUGGAAUUCCAUGUGUAGCGGUGAAAUGCGCAGAGAUAUGGAGGAACACCAGUGGCGAAGGCGAAUUUCUGGUCUGUAACUGACGCUGAUGUGCGAAAGCGUGGGGAUCAAACAGG